rnacentral:rRNA from 1 species
UACGUAGGGUGCGAGCGUUAAUCGGAAUUACUGGGCGUAAAGCGCACGUAGGCGGCUUUGUAAGUUAGAGGUGAAAGCCUGGAGCUCAACUCCAGAAUUGCCUUUAAGACUGCAUCGCUUGAACACGGGAGAGGUGAGUGGAAUUCCGAGUGUAGAGGUGAAAUUCGUAGAUAUUCGGAAGAACACCAGUGGCGAAGGCGGCUCACUGGACCGUUGUUGACGCUGAGGUGCGAAAGCGUGGGGAGCAAACAGG